CAACAACGAUUUGAAGUCACACAAAGGUGAGGUUUGUGCUUUACAUAAAAGUAUGUUGAAACUGUAUGUUUCACUCUUUCGAACGAAGAAACUACAAGAAUACUAACCGAAGAGUUUGACCUCAGGUUAUCGCCCAGUGAACUCCACAACUUCUCACCUGAAGAGAGAAGACCAGAGACAGUUUUGGAGUGGUUGUGAUAACCUCAGCCUGACCCCUGAUUGGACUAAUCUCACCCUCAUCUUUUCUCGCUGGUCAGCUGACAGAACACUUCUCUGCAAUUGGAUUCACCCUCAGGGCACAGUUGACUGGAGCCCCCCUGACCUCUCUGUCACCCCUUCCUAACCCACGUUAGCCAAGGCAUCCUGGGAACAAAGAAGAAAUCGAAGGAAGACUCUGCUGUGUCUUAAUGUCCUCUGAACCAAAUCACAACCAGACCCGUUCACCCGGGGGUGUAGGCAGUGCCACCCAGGCCGGCAGCCCCUCUAGCCCUGGUCAGCCAUAGAAGAGGUUCAUUCCAGCCUUUGACCUCUCUUUCAUCUGUUUGUGGGUCUGAGGUGUUCUCUCACACCCAGUAGUGAGAGGAGAGGAGAGGGUGACUGAAAGCUGCUGCAGCUGCAGUCCAGUUCUUGUGUGUGUACUGUGAGAAUAUAGCAUCUGAAUAUGCGUGAAUAUCCGAGUCCAAAUUUGAUUCAAAUUAUUUUUUUGUUAUUGUGAAUCUGUCAUUUGCUUAAAUGUAGAUCCAAACUUAGCCAGUAGAAUUAGCCAAAUUUGCCAUCCGUUUCGCAUGAUUUUCUGCUACUGGUUGUUCUCUGUUGUGUAGCCUUCUGGGUCUCAUGACUGGAAUACUCGUCUCUCUUUCCACUUAUUCUAGUGUCUUGCAAGGCAAGGGCAAACACCUUCACAUGUACACACACACAAGACACACAUCACCCUCCUCUGCCGCCCCCACACACACACACCUCUGCUGACCUCUUCUUCAUCUCCCAUAAGGCCUUGGGGUGAGGCAGCCUGGCACCAGACAGUUAUUUAAACCCUCAGGCAGCUUCACAACAGGUCAGAGACAGAACGGAGAGAGAGAGGGGGAGAGAGAGAGAGGGAGAAAGAGAGACACAUGUAUUCACAGCUCAUUAUUUGCUGAUUAACUGGUGUCGUAACUUAAGAUGAGGGAUGAGGACUUUUUCUUUUUGAAUAGAAAGAACUUAGACUUUGUGAAGUUUUGCUAAUGACAUUCAGUGAUUGUUGGCCAUUUGCUGUAUUUGCAUCAAAAUACCAAAUAAAAUUUAAAGUCUAA